AAUACGUAACGUUCCUAUACACUAAUUCUCUUGCGUUUAUAAUCUUCAUCAUGUCUUCCAUGGCUUAUAACAUAUUCAGCUCCAUCGUUAUAUGUUGGAAAAAUAUGAAUUCUACAUAAUCUCAAUGCAUAUAUUACUUACACUAUUAUAAACAAUCUCAUUCUUCGUACUAAAAUAUUAAGGAUCAUAAAAAUUACAACGAUACAUUCUGUAACAUUCCACAAAAGAUUAAACUAAAGAAUAUUUCUAUUUUGAUAAUAUUUUAUAUACACACUAUAUUGUUCCGUGUUCUUAAAAGAAAAAUUUCAAUUUUGUUACAAAUUUGAUAUUAUUUCCAAUUUUUUACUAAAAUAAAAAGUGAUAGCUAAUUUAUAGUAUUUAAAGCAAUUUUUCAUGAAUAAAUAUCCAAAAGACGUAUAUAAGGAUUUCCCAAGAAAAAAAAUUGUUUGAGAAAUUAACAACACUUCAAUAUUAAAAUUAAAAUCCCCCCUUUGUUCAGUUAAAUUAGCAAUAAUUCUUAUGAUAUUGAAGUAUAGGAUCUCAUUUUUAUUUCGUAAAGAAAAAGCCAUGUCCUUUUAUGAGUGAGCGGACGAAAUAUAUGAAAGAAGAAAAGUCUCUUUUUUUUACCAACUAAAGAAGAAAAGUCUUUGUGGAAUUUUUUUUUUUAAAACGAAUAAUUUCUAGUGAUGAUUUAUUUACUUUCUAUAUAUAUAUACAUGGUCUUUCGUAAUGGGCAAUGUGACAAAUUGGACUAUAAUGGCUACAAAGUCAUCAAGUUUAGUUUCUCUGGUUCUCUAUUUGAUUCUUCUGCAAUUAUUUGUCUCCUCUCAAGUUUGUCUUACGGAAGCUAGACGAAUUCCACGAAGAAUUUCACCGUCUCGCCGUCCCCCUCCCCCUUUCCGUCCCCCUCCCCCUCGUUAUUAUACACCCCCUUCGAGAUCGCCCCGAGGAGGUGGCCCAUAAGAAGCGUGUAUAAUAUAUGUACUCGUGAUCAUUUACCUUGUAAACGUAAUUGGUCAGUUUGAUGAUUAUGUUUUAUAUUAUUUGAUCCGUUAGUCUUUAUUAGCUCUUCAUAAAAUAUAUGUAACAUUCAAAAUAAGGACAUAAUGUCAGAAACAAUGUUACAAAUGAAGGCAAUGAUAAAACUUUAAGAGAGUGUAAUGAAGAUGAUAAACAUUUCUUGUCAA